rnacentral:lncRNA from 1 species
CAGGGUUUGGGUAGAGGAGGAAUUCUGCAAGGGAGACUGAGAAGGAGGAGUUGAAGAAAAAGAUGAAAACCAGAAGAGUGUCAUGGAAACUAAGAGGCGCCAGUGUUUUGGUGACAAGAUUCCUAUCGGGCACCCUGACUCCUUUACACAGUUCUCAUCUAAAAAGUCUGGAAAAGGGUAUCUGUGAGAAUUGUCGUGCCUCUGAAACCAGAAACUCAACAUCCGUUGUCUGACAAGCCAAUUCUUUCCCUCACUCCCAAUAUACAUGUUCUUUGACCUCAAAAUAUCUUGAUUCCCUUGACCUGUCUUUUUUGCCCUAUCCAUCACCUUAUUUCCAAUCUUAUCUCCUUACCUGUCCAUCUUAAAUCUGUGUGUAUCAGUUACCCUCCUUCUUACCAGGACCCUGAAUUUGUUUACCUUUAUGUGUUUCUAGUUCAACAUCCUGAAAAACUGAUCACUUAAAUAAUUCCAAACAUCCAAAUUCUCUCUUCCUCCAGCCAGACUUCUGAAGAUCCAGCCAUGUAAAUGCGACAAUUCUAUGGACUGACGAUGCUGCAAGCCUUGGACAUCAUGCAUUAAUCCUUUUAGAUGGCUCAGGGCAGCUCCUUUUCUCCUUAUCUUCUCUCAUUGAGACAUGGGGUGGACUCUGCCUGACUCAAUUUCAGCCUCACAUUACAGAGAGGGUAAAGUACUUCAUCUGCUUUCUCACCAUCGCUUCACCUUCAUCCUCGUGUCAGAGGAAGAAGCAUUGAUUCUCUUUUCCAAGGCAUCGCUUUCAUACAUGCUUUAUAUCUCAUCUCUCCCUGCUUCCUCCAGCAUCUUGCUCCAGCCGUUAUUCAAUUUUCCUGUAUUAGCAACCUUUCCCAUUCCCUUAGCUCCUUCCUAGACAUGUAAGCCAAAAUAUAGCAAAAUAAGAGAGAGAAACAAAAAGAAGUUAAUAGGACACCUCUUGCAUAUCCCUGUUUCCUCUCAUUUGGUAUCUUUAACUCUACACACAUCAUAUUCACCCUUCCUAAAACGUUAAUACUUGCUAAAACUUGUAGAGCACUCACUGUGUGUCAGGCCCUGUUCUAAGAAGUUGCGUAUAUUAACUCACUUAAUCCUCACAACAACCCUAUAAGGCAGGCAUUUUUAUUAUCCUCAUUUUACAGAAGAAAAAAUGAAGUCACAACAAGUUUACAUAAAUUGUCCAGGGUCACACAGGGGCAUUUCCCAUUGUCACUUUGACUUAUUAAUAAAUUUUACGAUAAUCGUCAUGAACCAUCAUGUGCUUACUUUCAUUGUUUCCAGGUUUUAAAAAUUUAAGCAGACCACCUCUUUGAGGAUUUUUAAAAAUUUCUUUUUUAUUUUCUGCUUUUUAGAUUUUUCUGAGCACUGUUUUCAUAUUUCCUUUUUCUGUCACAAUCUCAACUUGUACUCAUUCUCA